GGCUCAACCUGGGAACUGCAUUCGAAACUGGCAGGCUUGAGUCUUGUAGAGGGGGGUAGAAUUCCAGGUGUAGCGGUGAAAUGCGUAGAGAUCUGGAGGAAUACCGGUGGCGAAGGCGGCCCCCUGGACAAAGACUGACGCUCAGGUGCGAAAGCGUGGGGAGCAAACAGGAUUAGAUACCCUGGUAGUCCACGCCGUAAACGAUGUCUACUUGGAGGCUGUGCCCUUGAGGCGUGGCUUCCGGAGCUAACGCGUUAAGUAGACCGCCUGGGGAGUACGGCCGCAAGGUUAAAACUCAAAUGAAUUGACGGGGGCCCGCACAAGCGGUGGAGCAUGUGGUUUAAUUCGAUGCAACGCGAAGAACCUUACCUGGUCUUGACAUCCACAGAAGUUUGCAGAGAUGCGAAUGUGCCUUCGGGAACUGUGAGACAGGUGCUGCAUGGCUGUCGUCAGCUCGUGUUGUGAAAUGUUGGGUUAAGUCCCGCAACGAGCGCAAC
rnacentral:rRNA from 1 species